GACGAACGCUGGCGGCGUGCUUAACACAUGCAAGUCGAACGAAGAGCGAUGGAAGCUUGCUUCUAUCAAUCUUAGUGGCGAACGGGUGAGUAACGCGUAAUCAACCUGCCCUUCAGAGGGGGACAACAGUUGGAAACGACUGCUAAUACCGCAUACGAUCUAAACUCGGCAUCGAGGAUAGAUGAAAGGUGGCCUCUACAUGUAAGCUAUCACUGAAGGAGGGGAUUGCGUCUGAUUAGCUAGUUGGAGGGGUAACGGACCACCAAGGCGAUGAUCAGUAGCCGGUCUGAGAGGAUGAACGGCCACAUUGGGACUGAGACACGGCCCAGACUCCUACGGGAGGCAGCAGUGGGGAAUCUUCCGCAAUGGACGAAAGUCUGACGGAGCAACGCCGCGUGAGUGAUGACGGCCUUCGGGUUGUAAAGCUCUGUUAAUCGGGACGAAAGGCCUUCUUGCGAAUAGUGAGAAGGAUUGACGGUACCGGAAUAGAAAGCCACGGCUAACUACGUG
rnacentral:rRNA from 1 species